rnacentral:rRNA from 1 species
GGUAUUCUAGAGCUAAUACAUGCUAAAAACCUCGACUUCGGAAGGGGUGUAUUUAUUAGAUAAAAAGCCAAUGCCCUCCGGGGCUCCCUGGUGAUUCAUAAUAACUCAACGAAUCGCAUGGCCUUGCGCCGGCGAUGGUUCAUUCAAAUUUCUGCCCUAUCAACUUUCGAUUGUAGGAUAGUGGCCUACAAUGGUUUCUACGGGUAACCGACCUCCGCGUUGCCCGUGGUGUAAAGCCGGAAAACAGUCGGGAGGAAUCCUUUCCCGGCGGCAUCACUGGCUUGGAGGAUGCCCGCCCGACGCCGUAACGUCGUUCGGGGGGCUGAUUCUAAGGCGAGUCCCUACAUCUAGGGACCGUCCCAACGCCUGCGAAGUGAUGGGCUCUCCUUCGGGAGGGCUUCAGACACAGACUCGUCCUCUCGGCUAAACCGAUGGGAACGCGCGAACGGGGAAUUAGGUACGUUCGGAUUUACUAUCCUCCAAUUCUAGAAAUUCAAUGCUAAUAUUCAUUUUUUUAGGGUUCUAUUCCGGAGAGGGAGCCUGAGAAACGGCUACCACAUCCAAGGAAGGCAGCAGGCGCGCAAAUUACCCAAUCCCGACACGGGGAGGUAGUGACAAUAAAUACUGAUACAGGGCUCUUUUGGGUCUUGUAAUUGGAAUGAGUACAAUUUAAAUCCCUUAACGAGGAACAAUUGGAGGGCAAGUCUGGUGGACGUUUACGUUCCAGUAUCGGGUAUUGAUACCCGCUGCUGACGCCAGUCAUAGACCGGACCCCCGGGCGUCCACGUCGCCCGGGGGUCUAGUUUAGUGGGUCGUUCGAAGGGGUUCGCUUCCAUGCCUCAACCGUCUGUUAAGCGAUCCCCGGGCGUCACCCGCAAGGUUCCCAGCAUGGGGAAGGGCCUCCGAAGGCCUUAUCCCGUGGCUCAAACGGCUUCGCCUUUGGCCUCAACGCGCGCUAGGGUGCCGGUGACUUGUUCUUUCGAGUCACUUAAGGUACGUGCUCAUCCCGCCCCGAAGGGUUUUUAACGCCGACAAUCAAGCGUUAUAGAGGGAGAAUAUAUGGCCAGCAGCCGCGGUAAUUCCAGCUCCAAUAGCGUAUAUNAAAGUNGUUGCAGUUAAAAAGCUCGUAGUUGAAACUUGGGCCUGGCUGACCGGUCCGCCUCACCGCGUGCACUGGUUCGGCCGGGCCUUUCCUUCUGGGGAACCGCAUGGCCUUCGUUGGUCGUGUUGGGGAUCCAGGACUUUUACUUUGAAAAAAUUAGAGUGUUCAAAGCAGGCCUAUGCUCGAAUACAUUAGCAUGGAAUAAUAGAAUAGGACGUGUGGUUCUAUUUUGUUGGUUUCUAGGACCGCCGUAAUGAUUAAUAGGGAUAGUCGGGGGCAUCAGUAUUCCGUUGUCAGAGGUGAAAUUCUUGGAUUUACGGAAGACUAACUACUGCGAAAGCAUUUGCCAAGGAUGUUUUCAUUAAUCAGUGAACGAAAGUUAGGGGAUCGAAGACGAUCAGAUACCGUCGUAGUCUUAACCAUAAACUAUGCCGACUGGGGAUCGGACGGUGUUAUUAUUUUGACCCGUUCGGCACCCUACGAGAAAUCAAAGUCUUUGGGUUCUGGGGGGAGUAUGGUCGCAAGGCUGAAACUUAAAGACAUUGACGGAAGGGCACCACCAGGCAGCUUUCUUCACGCCUGGUUACAAACUUUACAGCGCCCAAGUUAGUCGCGCCGAUUCGGCGGGCGAGGCCUCCGUUCUGCGUGGAUCAUCCUUUCGGGGUGUACCCGCAGCUGACAACCCGGCGUCCGGGUUGAUCGGUCCACAGAUCAAGUGGAGGUCGGCAGUUUUAGUUCGGGAGAACUUUCGAAGGCGGUAGUACUAAUAGCUUCCCUUCGGAGCCUCCCUCGGAACAUUGAACCUGCUUCUGAUAUGAUCGGCCUUCAGGGGAGACUCUAGGGAGUACGCGCGUGGAGCCUGCGGCUUAAUUUGACUCAACACGGGGAAACUCACCAGGUCCAGACACAAAAAGGAUUGACAGAUUGAGAGCUCUUUCUUGAUCUUGUGGGUGGUGGUGCAUGGCCGUUCUUAGUUGGUGG